CUUUACAGCUAGGGAAGCAUUGCAUCUUCCUGAACUUCUCGAUAGAUCAGGAAUGUGUUGUCAUCCUGGAUUGUAGACUGAGGAUCACCAAACUGGACUGGAAUAAAGCAUGACUCAGUGUAUGUGGCAGCUGCUCUAAGGCACAUUAGAAAUUAGGACUGACCUAGCAGAGGAAAUUCAAAUCUUUUUAUCUCCCCCCACCUUCUAAGAAUAUUAUGCAAAUAUUCUAAUCCUCCCCAC
rnacentral:lncRNA from 1 species